rnacentral:lncRNA from 1 species
GUACAACUCACUCAUAAUUACAUAUACUAACUUCAUAAUCAAAUUAAACACCAAAAUAUAAUCUAGAAUAAAAGGGAUAGAGGUGGCUUAGUGGUGUGUCGGAUGGUCUCUAAGCUCACGUCUUGGUGGUGAUGGUGGAGUAGAUGGAGAAAAUGAUGAUAGAAAAGAGAGUGGAGAAAUGAUGUAGUAGUGGUGGUGUUAAUGGAGGUAGAUGAUAAGAAAUGGUGGUGGUGAUGGAGGAGAGGGGGUAGUAUGGAUAAUAUGAGUAUUAUGGGCCUUAAGAGUGUAAUUAAUGGAUAUUUUGUGGAGGAAAUGGAGAGCAAGAAGAUGUAAUGGUGUGGUAUGAGUGAU